AUCCUCAGGAUCCAUCCCAUCUGGGAUUGAGACCAAAUUAACACAUGAGCCUGUAGGAUCGCUUCUGCCACCCAUUGCACUAAGCACUCUCCUGAGGUUAAAGUCUGUAUUGACAAAAGUGACUUUGGAUCCAAGGUUGGCUAUUCUCCGAGCAAAGUGCAUUAAGGGGUUAACAUGUCCUUGGGCUGGAAAUGGUAGCAGUAGAACAUGUGAAUUUCGCAUUUUCCUUUUUGCGGUUUGAGAAACAGAGCAGAGAAAAUGCGGAAUCUUAUCUUCCUCCGUUGGCAACGAGCAAAGGAGUGGCUAAUAAUUUAUUGGCUGCAAGGGCAAAGGAUUAAACAGAAAUUGUAGAAUAUAACGGUAAUACCGACCUGGAUUUCCUGGUUGGUCUAUUAAUAAAUUAUUUGUAUUUUGACACGUAUAUUAAAAAAAUAAAAAAAUAUAUUAAUUUUUAUUAUAUUUUAUUUUUCUCUUUCUUAUUAAUAAAUCACUACUAUAUUAGAAAUCUAAAGGGCCACUGUUAUUUAUAACUUAAAAUAAGUAAUAGUAAUUAAAUUGUUUUGUUUUUAAAAACAUUGGGAUUGGGAUUGGGAUUCAGAUUGAUUUAUAUGUACUUACCACCGAAUUAAAUCUGUGAGUUAUAUAACCAAUAAUUUUAUUAUAAUCAUUAAUUAUAAUGAAUUAUAAAUACUAUAAUUAAUAUCUAACUAUAUGUUUUAUGUUUUACAUAUAAUAUAAUAAUUUUUCAUAAUUCAAUUAAUGGGAAGAGGAGAAGAAACCUCCCAUUAAAACCGAAACACACCUAUUAAAAAUCUAAUAAAAUAAAAUAAGAAUUAGGUUUCUUAAAACAGAACAUACACCAAUUAAAAAUCUAACAAAAUAAAAUAAGAAUCAGAUCUUUUAAAACAGAACACACCGAUCAAAAAUCUAAUAAAAUAAAAUAAGAAUCAGAUCUGUUGAUAAGUAUUUUCACAAGCACAUGAAAUCGUUUAAAUAAUAAAGUGAUGAGUAGAGUUGUCAAAUAAUUGAUUUUUAAAUAUAAAAAAUAUAUGUAAUUCUAAUGUUAUUUAAGUUAUCAAAUUAAAUUUUGAAUUAAGGAGAGAACUCUAAUCUAAUUCUUGAAAAUGGCACAAUUUAAUGAUAAAGAUGGAUACAGGCUUUUUCUUCAACAAGGGAAAUAAAGCAGAUAAAUAUAUUAUAAUUAAUAUUUAUUAUUUAUAGUUAUUUCCCACGAGUUUUCAUAUUUUAAUAAAAUCAAAUAAUUUUUUUAAAUUUCCAUACUAUUAAAUCUAUCUUUCUCAACAUAGAUAACUAAUAAUCAUUCAUUAAAAUGGCUACUAUAUUAUAGGAGAGCUAAUAAAAUAUAAAUAUAAAAUACAAAUAAGAGCUAAAUUUACAUAAUUAGAGAGCUAAAUAAAAUUAAAAUAAGAAUAAAUUUGAGAGAAUAAAAAAAUUAAAAGGAAAAAUGUAUAUAAAAAAUGAAAAAUGCCCUUUGAGACAUCAUGCUGUAAAGGUGAGCGGUGGGUAAAUUUUCCAUUGAGGUAUGAGUUUGUUGCUUCAAUAACAUCAGUUUAUUUGAGGGAUAUAGAGAUGAAAAACAAAAAGAACAAGAGAAAACUUGAAAUGAACACCAAAGGAAAUGAGAAGUUAAAUGUGUUGGAAGGUUUUUUUUUCCUUUUUUUUCUAUAUUAUAUCAAUCUCAUUUACAAAAUUGAAUAUAAAUAUACAGAGUAUAUGAGAGACAUUAAAAAAACUAUUUUAGCUAUAAACAAAAUCUAAGGCUAAGAAUGUGUUGUGUUCUAUGAAAAAAAGGAUUUUAAUCUGCUCUUAUAAUUUCUCCACUAAAAACUGAUUUGACAGCUUAUACCAACACUCUUCCUCAAGUUGAUACAUAAUGUUUUGGAUGUCCAACUUGUCAAGUAAGUUGUAAAAAGUUUUACUCAGAUACAGUUUUUGUGAUGAUAUCUGCUAGUUGGUCUUCAGAUUUAAUAAAAGAGAAACAAAUUAUUUUUUUCUUCAAGAUUCUUCUUGAUGAAGUGUCAACCCCCUCUACAUAUUUGGUAUGAUCAUGUUAAACAGGAUUCGACCCACCUCUAUAUGUUUGGUGUGAUCAUGUUGAACAGGAUUGUAAGAGAUAUCAAUUGUUGUCUUGUUGUCACAAAAGAAAUUUAUCUCAGAGUCAGUAGCAAAACCAAUCUCAGUCAAUAAUCUUUUUAGCCAUAGAAGUUCACAAAGGCCUUUUGCCAUUUCUUGAAACUCAGCUUCAGCACUAGAUAAUGCUACUAUCUUCUAUUUCUUACUUCUUCAAGUAACCAGAUUGCUUUCUACAAAAUUAAAAUAGGUUGAAUGGACUUUCUAUUAGAAGUAUUCCUGUCCAAUCUGCAUCCGUAUAACCAUCAAUACUCAUAUGAUUAUUCUUUGCGAACAUAAUUCCUUUUCUGAGAGAGACUUUAGAUAGGAAAGAAUUUGAAUCACUGCAUCCAUAUGACUUUUACUUGGGUAAUGCAUUAAUUGGCUUACUACGCUCACAAAGAACAUUUCUUUCGUAUAUUGAUUUUUCUAAAAAAAUAAAAUAAAAAAUUCUUGGAUUCUCAUAAUUCUGUGGCGGUAAACAUUUUUGGUAAGUGGUCCUUUGAUUUGUUUACUCCAAAAGAUAUAGCUAAAAAAUGUAGGAUGCGGUCGCUGAUGAACCCUGAUAAGGCUCUCACCGAAGGCUUUGAAGCUAUAGCUUCAAUAGCAGAUGGUCUAAGCAUCACUCUGGUUGAACGAAAAUCUCUGAGAGGCAGGAGCCUAAACGUUGUAUUGGCUGCUUGCUUGUUCAUUGCCUGCAGAGAGUAAAUCUCCGAGGACGUUAAGGGAGAUAAGUAGGGCCACAGCUGGGGUUUCAGGGAAGGAAAAUAAAAUAGAAGAACAGGGGCUAUAAAGAAGCAUGUGGAGAUUGAUACUGGGACUUUGCAUGCUAGUGAACUUGUUAGACGGUUCUGUUCUAAUCAUGGCAUGAAAAAUCAAGCAAUGAAGUCUGUUAAGAAGCUCUUGAAAACUCCAAAGAUAUUGAUGAGGAACCAAAAUCCACCUUGGUCUUGGCAGCCAUUAUUCAUAUAAUCGCUCAGCUUUCAACCACUUGCAUUGCAUAUCACUGAUUUUAGAAAAGGACACAGAAAAUUGACCAAUCAUAAUCUUUCUUCAAUCAUUACAAAUGGAACUUCCCUUGAAUUGGGAUUUCUUUUGUGUUCUUUAUGGAUUUAACUUAAGGUAGUAAGGAUUUGCAGACAUUGCAAUGGUUGUUGAACUUGAAGUUGCAGAAGAAACAAUCAAGAAGGCAUAUAAAGAUAUGAAUGCUUCAAAGCUCAUAGACAGUUGGUACCCUAAGGAGGUGAACAUCCAAAGAAAAGGCUUGCUUGUCAGUUUAAGUCCAAGUGCCAAUUCUUGAAGUUGAGAUUGGUCAAAAAUGGUGAAACUGCCAAAUGCUACAUAUAUCGCUGACCGGGAAGGCUUUUGAUCACGCCAUUUUAGGCACGAGGAGUCCUCCGGCCAGAACUGUGCUCCUGAAUUCCCUGUAUCGUAGUAAUAAUGGGCCAAUUGGGAGGAGCUUUGGAACCGAAGAAAAUACUUCAGCCUCAAGUUCAUGAAAUGAGUUGCAUAGCUGCCAUUCUAUCAAUUGUGAAUCUUCCAUUGCUCCUUCAACAUAUUUGAAAAGGCCCUUUGUGUGUACGAGUUGCCAACUUUCCAUGUCAAGUUAUCAGUGUAAAAAAUAGGGCCGCUGGGGACAUUUGAAUCAUUUGAUUCUUGAUUGAAUAUCCUGUAAAUGAAUCAAAAGGAAAAUGCAUGCAGAGUACGAGUAGUAACUUUACGUGGAAUAUCAACAACAUCAAGACUUUCUUGUGAUUAAAGAAUAAUAAUAACAAUAAAAGCAAGGGAAGAACUUACCGUCACUGUCGAUAUAUCCAUCUCGAAUAAGAUUAGGAAUGCUGGCUAAUUGGCGAAAAGUGGCAGCUGAUGCAGGCCAGAACAUUGCAACUCGGAUCCCCAAUUUGUCAGCAACUUCUCUUGCCCACCCCAUACAUCCAUCAACUACAAUACAAGUGAUGGGAUGAUUCUUGUUGAUGUCUUCUAUGAGAUCCUGAAUCUUUUUGGGCAUGGUGAUCACCAUGGCCUCGCAUAACUUACCCAAGUCAGUUCUAUCAUCCUCAGGAUCCAUCCCAUCUGGGAUUGAGACCAAAUUAACACAUGAGCCUGUAGGAUCGCUUCUGCCAGCCAUUGCACUAAGCACUCUCCUGAGGUUAAAGUCUGUAUUGACAAAAGUGACUUUGGAUCCAAGGUUGGCUAUUCUCCGAGCAAAGUGCAUGAAGGGGUUAACAUGUCCUUGGGCUGGAAAUGUUAGCACUAGAACAUGUGAAUUUCGCAUUUUCCUUUUUGCGAUUUGAGAAACAGAACAGAGAAAAUGCGGAAUCUUAUCUUCCUCCGUUGGCAAAGAGGCAAAGGAGUGGUUAACAAUUUAUUGGCUCAGAGAGCCCAUCCUCAUUUUUGUAAGUUGCUUAUAACUAAUGAACAUAUAAUGCAGCCUAAAGUUAUAAAUUGGCCUCUCAAAUCAUAAAUCUUAUCUUCUUUUAAUCACAAAAAUAAACCUUUCUGGUAUAAAAUUUCUGUUGAUUUUUUCAUUCAAAAGGAAAAUUAGAAAAGUAAAGUGUUUUUAUUAGUAAACAGAAUCGGAAAUUUAAAUUUUCAUUCAUUAGGCAAAAUUAAAUCCCAUCUGGGAUUGACACCAAAUUAACACAUGAGCCAGCAAGAUCGUUUUUGCCACGCAUUGCACUAAGCACUCUCUUGUGGUUUAAGUCUGUAUUAACAAACGUGACUCGGGAUCCCAGGCUGGCUAUUCUUUGAGCAAAGUGCAUUAAGGGUUAACAUGGCCUUGGACGGGAAAUGGAAGCAUUAGAACAUGUGAUCUUCUUUCUUUUUUUUUUUUUUUUUUNNNNNNNNNNNNNNNNNNNNNNNNNNNNNNNNNNNNNNNNNNNNNNNNNNNNNNNNNNNNAUUAGAGCAAAAGACAAAAGAUGCAACUAUGUGGUAUGUCUACCAUCAGUGCUGUUCGGUGCACAAAUUCAAUACACUGAAAAACAGAAAAGAGAAGGAUUGAAAAAAAAAAAAAGUGGACAAUUGAAUUAUUGAAUGUAUGGGUUCCACUCAUUCCAAUGCAAAUCAAUCAUUUCAGUGCAAAUCAAUCAUUUGUGUACAAUAGCAUUAUUCAUUACUCUAUUAAUUACUUAAAUUAUUACAAAAUAUUUUUUUAAUUAAAUUACUUGUGGAUUUAACAUAUCUAUGAUAAAGUUGUUUUUCAUUACAAUUUUUAGAAAACACAUAUAGAGAUUAUUCAAUGAGAUUAAUUUUAAAGCCCUUAUAUUUAUCCGAUAGAUAAAAAAUAUCGGUUAAUUAUUUAUUAGUACUGAAAGUAAAAUCAAAAUAAAAUUCACUCAAACAUAGCAUAGCAACAAAUAUUACAUAAUUCAAAUGCCAAUUCAAUAGUCUACGAGAACUAAACCAAUAAUCCCUGAAAGGUGGCAUCUUCCCCAACCUAUGCCUCCACCCACUUAAUGAAGUUGCUAAAAUUUGUCGAGGACUGACCACCUUCUCUAAUAUUAUCUUCAGCAAAUUGCUUCAGCUCCAAGGCCUUUUUUAUUGUAAUUUUAUCCCCAAGCAACAGCUCCACCUUUUGUUUAAAUUCCUCCUUUGUUAUGAUUCCCUUUUCGUCCUUGUCUAACCCCAAACCAAUCUUCCAUACAUCACAAAUGUAGCUUUUGUUAACAAACUGGUCGGUGAAGUAAGGCCAACACAAGAAAGGUACUCCAUUGCUCACGCCUUCUAUGGCAGAGUUCCAACCACAAUGGCUCACAAAACAAGCAAUAGCAGGAUGGCUUAGUACCUUCUGCUGAGGAGCCCAACUGAUAAUUUUUCCAUGGCUGUCUUCAAAUUCAUUUGGGUUCGAUUCUUGGGUACUGUUUCCUGGACGAACCACCCAAAGGAAAGGUUUGUUUGUCAGUUUAAGUCCAAGUGCCAAUUCUUGAAGUUGAGAUUGGUCAAAAAUGGUCAAACUGCCAAAUGCUACAUAUAUCACUGACUGGGAAGGCUGCCGAUCAAGCCAUUUUAGGCACGAGGAGUCCUCCGGCCAGAACUGUGCUCCUGAAUUCCCUGUAUCGUAGCCUGCUAAUAAUGGGCCAAUUGGGAGGAGCUUUGGAACCAAAGAAAAUACCUCAGCCUCAAGUUCAUGAAUUGAGUUGCAUAGCUGCCAUUCAAUCAAUUGUGAAUCUUCCAUUACUCUUUCAAUAUAUUUGAAAAAAGCCUUUUGUGAGUAGGCGUUGCCAACUUUCCAUGCCAAGUUAUCAGAGUCAAAAAUAGGGCCGCUUGGGGAUAUUUGAAUCUUGUGUUUCUUGAUUGCAAAUCCUGUAAAUGAAUCAAAAGGAAAAUGCAUGCAGAGUAUUAGUAGUGAAUUUACGUGGAAUAUCAACAACGCCAAGAAUUUCUUGAGAUUAAAGAAUAAUAAUAACAAUAAAAUCAAGGGAAGCACUUACCAUCACUGUCGAUAUAUCCAUCUCGAUUAAGAUUAGAAAUGUUGGCUAACUGGCAAAAAAUGGCAGCUGAUGCAGGCCAGAACAUUGCAACUCGGAUCCCCAAUUUGUCAGCAACUUCUCUUGCCCACCCCAUAGUUCCAUCAACUAUAAUACAAGUGAAGGGAUGAUUCUUGUUGAUGUCUUCUAUGAGAUCCUGAAACUUUUUGCGCAUGGUGAUCAACAUGGCCUCGCAUAACUUACCAAUGUCAGUUCUAUCAUCCUCAGGAUCCAUCCCAUCUGGGAUUGAUACCAAAUUAACAUCUGAACCUGUAGGUUCGUUUCUGCCAGCCAUUGCACUAAGCACUCUCUUGUGGUUAAAGUCUGUAUUGACAAAAGUGACUUUGGAUCCAAGGUUGGCUAUUCUCCAAGCAAAGUGCAUUAAGGGGUUAACAUGUCCUUGGGCUGGAAAUGGUAGCACUAGAACAUGUGAAUUUUCCAUUUUCCUUUUGCGAUUUGAGA
rnacentral:lncRNA from 1 species